UACGUAGGGUGCGAGCGUUAAUCGGAAUUAUUGGGCGUAAAGCGUGCGCAGGCGGUUGUGUAAGACAGGUGUGAAAUCCCCGGGCUUAACCUGGGAACUGCGCUUGUGACUGCACGACUGGAGUGUGGCAGAGGGGGGUGGAAUUCCACGUGUAGCAGUGAAAUGCGUAGAUAUGUGGAGGAACACCGAUGGCGAAGGCAAUCCCCUGGACCUGUACUGACGCUCAUGCACGAAAGCGUGGGGAGCAAACAGG
rnacentral:rRNA from 1 species